rnacentral:lncRNA from 1 species
UUUUUUUUUUCCUUGCUUCUGAAAUAAAGCCUGCAUGAGAGCCAAAAUUUAGUAGAAUAUUUGCUCUGCCAUAGUGCCAUAGUGCUGUUUGUUGAAAAACAUUUGCUUAUCAGGCAUUUAUUUUCCAUGCUUAGAUUAAUAUAUUGCUGAAUAGCCACAGACACUUAAUUUUUAUGUCUGCAUUUUAGAAUUGUUGUGGCUUAUAAAUUUACCUUUAUAAAUAUAAAUAAUUUCCUAAUAUCGAAAUGAUUAUAAUUAAAACCAAGGUUAAAAAUAAUAUUGAUGUAUUUAUUAGUCAAGUACUAAUAAUGAAGAGAACACUCGUCUUAAUAUUUCCUUUCCCUUCUAGAUUCUGACUGUGGUUUUGAAAACCAUUACCUUGGAAACAGUUGCUGUGAAACACUACCCUUUGAAUCUAAGAAGGGGCCACUCAUGUGCCCCCACCAAUGGCUUCCUUGAGGUGACGUUAUCUGUGUAGACCAGCACCAUCUAAUAGAAAUUUUGCUAAUGAUCAAAUGUUCUCUCUUCGUACUGUCCAAUCUGGUGGACAUUAGACCAUUGUGCACUUGACAUGUGGCUAGUGAGACUAAGGAAAUGAAUUUUAAACUUUAAUUUUAAUGAGUUUAAGUUUAAAUGAUCAUAAGUGAAUAGUGCCCAUCAUAUUGAACAGUGUCAUCCCCCCAUUCUCACAUGCUUCCAACAGCAAUUUCCAUCCAAGGGGCCUGGAACUUUUUUCACCAACAACAAUUAGUAGUCAAUCAUUUUUCUUCACUAUCUCAAUGUCCUUAGCACCUGGAAUCAUGCAUUCUGAUAGGUGGCUUUUCAACAAGUGCUUGUGUUGGAAUCAGACAGUUCUUUUCAAUAUUUUAAGAAAAAAGCUGCCUCCCACACUUGAAAAAGAUCUUUGACUGACGUAUGUCUGGGGCAGCACAUUUCCCUGGGGCCCCCUUUUGCAUCCGGACUACUCUUUGUUUCUUUCUUUACAACAUUCACCAGUAGUAACAGCUGUAUUUGUUGAAGAGCUGCUAUGUUACGAGAAAGGAGAACAGUCCCUGUAUGUAAAUUUCCUAAUUUCCAUAACAACCCUAUAAAUUAGAUAUCGUAUCUCCAAUCUGGGGGGAGAAAAUCAGAGAUUUAAGUAACUUAGCCAAACUCUAGCAACUGGUAAUUGGCAAAAUCAGGGCUUUCAUGUACUGUAUAUUCUCAUUCUCUCAUCCUACGUGAGCUGGAGAUUCUUAGUUUCGCCACUGACUAGCUGCCUGGCCUUGGGACGUCAUUUAUUCUCCCUGACCUUCAGUUUCCAAACCUGGAAAAUGAGGAAUUAACAACGGAUGCCUCCAGGGCAGAUGGGGAGUUAGCCUGAGGCUUUAUGAGAGCCCUCCAGGUGCACAGGGGUGCAGGGCUUGCCUCCAGGGCUGUCUUCAAUUCCUUCCCUAUUCCUACUGGCCUGUGAACUUAUUUUUUCCUUGCUUUUUUUUUUUUUAUUGUUAUUAUUGGUAAAAAUGCUCAGCUGAACAGAAUCUCAUCCAGCAGAUAUUUAGUGAGUCUCUGCUGUGAUCAGGAACCAUGCUGACUGUUGAACACAAUCAUCAGCUGAAUUCAAAUUCUAGAAACCUGAGUAUAUCCUUUUCUAGCUAACAUCUGUUGAGAGUUCACUACAGUUCAGCCCUUCUAAAUGCUUUACAUAUAUAACUCACACAAUCCUCAUAGUAACACUUUGUUAGCAGUGACUGUUAGGAUUCCCCACCACACAGUUGAGGAAACUGAGGCACAGAGAGGCUGAGCUACUUGCCAGAUGUGACACAACUUAUAAAUGAUGGAGCUGGAACUCUGAUCCAGUCAAGCUGGCUGCAAAGCCCCCACUCCUAACCGUAAGGCUCUAAGGCCCCCCCAUCCUUGUGUUUGCAGGUUAAUAGGAGGAAGUCAUCCUGGAACCAGGGCAGAAAGGAGCACUUUCAAGAGGUCCUCAAACAACUCCUUGAGUGUGGGACCCAGGAAAUUUAACAAAAAUCCCCUACCCCUGGACAAGCAGAGUAGGACUAACUCCAUUUUGGGCUACACCCGCCACCUCCCCUAUGACCCCCACACGACCUGCUUAUUGCUUAAGGCGCUGCCCCCCCUAGUCAGGCCGCUGGGCACACCCUCAUCGGAAAUCGGCUCAUAACAAUGUAACCCUGCUCUGUGCCCGCCAAAACUGCGCGCGGAUUCUGACCAAAGUAAUAGGCCAGGUCAAGUGGAUCCUAUAGGGUAAGGUGUAAUUCUAUCGGCCACCUGCGUGUGGACCGACAUGACUGUGCAACUUUCUGCGUAUCCCAUGGGCCACUGGCCCCUAUAAAGCUGCUACGCCUCUUAGUCUCGGGGUCCAAGUCCCUGCUCCGCUGUGUCGGGUGCACUUGGACCCAAGCCCAAGCUUGUAAAUAAACCCUCGUGUGACUGCAUCGGUGUCGGCUCCUCGGUGGUUUCUCGGAUUCGCAAUCUUGGGCACAACAUUGAGCACUGCCUGCAAACAAAACAUGCUGUAGGCUGGAUGGGGAUACAAAGAUGUGUAAGAGUUAUUCUCCACCCCCGGAAACUAGAUUGUAAGUCUAACAAAGAGCAUGAUUAAAAAGAACAUGCUUACUUGUAAAGCAAGAAAGGUGUGGUAAGUGCUAAAUUGCUGACAGUCCUAUGAACUUCACAGAGAAAUCAGUUCUUAUUCAGAAACAUUUGUGAUGGAGAGCGUGUCACCUGUGCCUUAAAAGAAGGAUGCAAUUUCAGUAGAUGGAGAAGAGGCAAAGAAGAGAACUUUCCCAGUAGACCAAAAGACAGGAGUCAUGGGAUGCAGGUGAGACACAGGGAGGCUUUUCUCUGACAGUCAGCAGGGGCUCCUCUUGCUGGGACCUGCAGCAUCUGUGGGAAUAAGUGACUUAGACAAAGGGGGGGGGGUUGUAAAGAGGCAAAGGCCAUGGGCAGAACUGUGAGGACUGGCCACCCUCAUGGGGCAAGAGGAGCAGAGGGGCCACCCCCCUGGCAGGUAGAGGAGAGGAGGAGCAGGAGGUCCGGUGUCUCAGAAGUUGUGGGAGGAAGAGAGCGGAAAUAGCCAGGGAUCAAGAGUGCAAACAACAUAGAGACACCAAGAAAAGAUAAAAGCAGAAAAUAAGUUUUUGGCUUCAGUAUCUAGGAGAUGAUGGGUUGUUCUUCAAGGGGGCUGUUCCAAGGAAACAGCAAAAUGGGCCUGGACUGGUGAGUACUCAGUGAAGGUGGGAGGGCCAGGGGCUAGCCAUGGAGAGGGAGCUGCUAGCAUCAUCCCCAUGGAAACAGAGGCAGUGGCCCACCCUUUAAGCAGGAGGUGCAGAGAGGAAGGGUGGUAGUUGAAAAUAUGCAAAAAGGCAUCAAAGUAAUGGCUCAAGGAGACUCAAACAGGACACCCCACUAAAGAUAGCCAUGGCAAAAAGCGAACUAGCCUGGUGUGCAGCAAGCCUUUGAGGGCAGGCAGGCUUGAAAAUCUUAGUAAAGUUUGAGCAAAGGGUGUAACUGGUUCUGUCCCCUCUCUUGUCUCAAGAAUCCAGGCAAUUGCUCACUUUCUGAGAUUUUUCAGGGGCGACCUGUGGGAUGAUGGCAAAUGCCCAAGGGCUCCGCCCCAAUGUGAAGGCCCCACUCCUAGGGCCAAGGGCACCUGAGGCAACCGGGAUCCAGCUCCAGCCUCCUUGGGCAGGCUGUGCAUGUGAGUCAAGACCCCAGCUCAGCACAGGAAGCCAGUGGGGUAUCAGACCGGCACCUGGAGACAACCUGUCUCUCCAAAUCUGCUGGUCUUUUCUUCCUCUUCGGGGAGGUGCAGAGGCGUCCAUUCCAGUGUGCUUUAGACAUCAGUCUCUGCGCUGGGUUCCCUACCUAGCUUUCAGGAGGCCCUGCCAUCCCCAGCUCUCAGGCUCUACCCUGGGGUGUAGGGGAGUGUAGGGAAGGACCGCUGUCCCUCCUCCCUUUCGCUCUCUGCUUUCUGAGUGUCCACACCCCACACCUUGGGUCACUAUCCGCCAGUACAAUGAGGUGGGGGGGGCGGUGUGCCGGUGCUGUCUUUCGCUUGUGUAGACGCCACACUGGUCUGCCCUCUCACAAGUCUGGGCUCUGCUGGACCAAAGAGGCGGACGCCCAGCUAAGAAUGGGUAGAAGCCUCGAGGGGCUUUCCGGGAACCCAGUUUCCAGCCCCCUGCGAGGUCCCGACCGACAUUCCCCACACCCAUCACUCUUUUCCGCCCAAAUUUAGAGGUCUCCGACUUUUAGGUCUUUGUGUAGAGUUCAACAGCGCCGCCCUCUGGCGCCAGGUUGUGAGUGAGCACAGAGCAGAGGCACAGGGCUUAAAAAAAAAAAAAAAAAAA